rnacentral:rRNA from 1 species
GGGUUGUGAGGUUAAGCGACUAAGCGUACACGGUGGAUGCCCUGGCAGUCAGAGGCGAUGAAGGACGUGCUAAUCUGCGAUAAGCGUCGGUAAGGUGAUAUGAACCGUUAUAACCGGCGAUUUCCGAAUGGGGAAACCCAGUGUGAUUCGUCACACUAUCAUUAACUGAAUCCAUAGGUUAAUGAGGCGAACCGGGGGAACUGAAACAUCUAAGUACCCCGAGGAAAAGAAAUCAACCGAGAUUCCCCCAGUAGCGGCGAGCGAACGGGGAGCAGCCCAGAGCCUGAAUCAGUGUGUGUGUUAGUGGAAGCGUCUGGAAAGGCGUGCGAUACAGGGUGACAGCCCCGUACACAAAAAUGCACAUACUGUGAGCUCGAUGAGUAGGGCGGGACACGUGGUAUCCUGUCUGAAUAUGGGGGGACCAUCCUCCAAGGCUAAAUACUCCUGACUGACCGAUAGUGAACCAGUACCGUGAGGGAAAGGCGAAAAGAACCCCGGCGAGGGAGUGAAAAAGAACCUGAAACCGUGUACGUACAAGCAGUGGGAGCACGCUUAGGCGUGUGACUGCGUACCUUUGUAUAAUGGGUCAGCGACUUAUAUUCUGUAGCAAGGUUAACCGAAUAGGGGAGCCGAAGGAAACCGAGUCUUAACUGGGCGUUAAGUUGCAGGGUAUAGACCCGAAACCCGGUGAUCUAGCCAUGGGCAGGUUGAAGGUUGGGUAACACUAACUGGAGGACCGAACCGACUAAUGUUGAAAAAUUAGCGGAUGACUUGUGGCUGGGGGUGAAAGGCCAAUCAAACCGGGAGAUAGCUGGUUCUCCCCGAAAGCUAUUUAGGUAGCGCCUCGUGAAUUCAUCUCCGGGGGUAGAGCACUGUUUCGGCAAGGGGGUCAUCCCGACUUACCAACCCGAUGCAAACUGCGAAUACCGGAGAAUGUUAUCACGGGAGACACACGGCGGGUGCUAACGUCCGUCGUGAAGAGGGAAACAACCCAGACCGCCAGCUAAGGUCCCAAAGUCAUGGUUAAGUGGGAAACGAUGUGGGAAGGCCCAGACAGCCAGGAUGUUGGCUUAGAAGCAGCCAUCAUUUAAAGAAAGCGUAAUAGCUCACUGGUCGAGUCGGCCUGCGCGGAAGAUGUAACGGGGCUAAACCAUGCACCGAAGCUGCGGCAGCGACGCUUAUGCGUUGUUGGGUAGGGGAGCGUUCUGUAAGCCUGUGAAGGUGUGCUGUGAGGUAUGCUGGAGGUAUCAGAAGUGCGAAUGCUGACAUAAGUAACGAUAAAGCGGGUGAAAAGCCCGCUCGCCGGAAGACCAAGGGUUCCUGUCCAACGUUAAUCGGGGCAGGGUGAGUCGACCCCUAAGGCGAGGCCGAAAGGCGUAGUCGAUGGGAAACAGGUUAAUAUUCCUGUACUUGGUGUUACUGCGAAGGGGGGACGGAGAAGGCUAUGUUGGCCGGGCGACGGUUGUCCCGGUUUAAGCGUGUAGGCUGGUUUUCCGAGCAAAUCCGGAAAAUCAAGGCCGAGGCGUGAUGACGAGGCACUACGGUGCUGAAGCAACAAAUGCCCUGCUUCCGUGAAAAGCCUCUAAGCAUCAGGUAACAUCAAAUCGUACCCCAAACCGACACAGGUGGUCAGGUAGAGAAUACCAAGGCGCUUGAGAGAACUCGGGUGAAGGAACUAGGCAAAAUGGUGCCGUAACUUCGGGAGAAGGCACGCUGAUACGUAGGUGAAGCGACUUGCUCGUGGAGCUGAAAUCAGUCGAAGAUACCAGCUGGCUGCAACUGUUUAUUAAAAACACAGCACUGUGCAAACACGAAAGUGGACGUAUACGGUGUGACGCCUGCCCGGUGCCGGAAGGUUAAUUGAUGGGGUUAGCGCAAGCGAAGCUCUUGAUCGAAGCCCCGGUAAACGGCGGCCGUAACUAUAACGGUCCUAAGGUAGCGAAAUUCCUUGUCGGGUAAGUUCCGACCUGCACGAAUGGCGUAAUGAUGGCUGUGCUGUCUCCACCCGAGACUCAGUGAAAUUGAACUCGCUGUGAAGAUGCAGUGUACCCGCGGCAAGACGGAAAGACCCCGUGAACCUUUACUAUAGCUUGACACUGAACAUUGAGCCUUGAUGUGUAGGAUAGGUGGGAGGCUUUGAAGUGUGGACGCCAGUCUGCAUGGAGCCGACCUUGAAAUACCACCCUUUAAUGUUUGAUGUUCUAACGUGGACCCGUGAUCCGGGUUGCGGACAGUGUCUGGUGGGUAGUUUGACUGGGGCGGUCUCCUCCUAAAGAGUAACGGAGGAGCACGAAGGUUGGCUAAUCCUGGUCGGACAUCAGGAGGUUAGUGCAAUGGCAUAAGCCAGCUUGACUGCGAGCGUGACGGCGCGAGCAGGUGCGAAAGCAGGUCAUAGUGAUCCGGUGGUUCUGAAUGGAAGGGCCAUCGCUCAACGGAUAAAAGGUACUCCGGGGAUAACAGGCUGAUACCGCCCAAGAGUUCAUAUCGACGGCGGUGUUUGGCACCUCGAUGUCGGCUCAUCACAUCCUGGGGCUGAAGUAGGUCCCAAGGGUAUGGCUGUUCGCCAUUUAAAGUGGUACGCGAGCUGGGUUUAGAACGUCGUGAGACAGUUCGGUCCCUAUCUGCCGUGGGCGCUGGAGAACUGAGGGGGGCUGCUCCUAGUACGAGAGGACCGGAGUGGACGCAUCACUGGUGUUCGGGUUGUCAUGCCAAUGGCACUGCCCGGUAGCUAAAUGCGGAAGAGAUAAGUGCUGAAAGCAUCUAAGCACGAAACUUGCCCCGAGAUGAGUUCUCCCUGACCCUUUAAGGGUCCUGAAGGAACGUUGAAGACGACGACGUUGAUAGGCCGGGUGUGUAAGCGCAGCGAUGCGUUGAGCUAACCGGUACUAAUGAACCGUGAGGCUUAACCUUACAACGCCGAAG